rnacentral:rRNA from 3 species
AAAUUGAAGAGUUUGAUCAUGGCUCAGAUUGAACGCUGGCGGCAGGCCUAACACAUGCAAGUCGAACGGUAACAGGAAGCAGCUUGCUGCUUCGCUGACGAGUGGCGGACGGGUGAGUAAUGUCUGGGAAACUGCCUGAUGGAGAGGGAUAACUACUGGAAACGGUGGCUAAUACCGCAUAACGUCGCAAGACCAAAGAGGGGGACCUUCGGGCCUCUUGCCAUCAGAUGUGCCCAGAUGGGAUUAGCU